rnacentral:lncRNA from 1 species
AUAUUUUGGUUACGAGUAGUUAUUGCUGAACCAAAAACAUUUGAAAUUUUGAAAGCAUGGAUGCAAUGCAGUGUAUGUAGAUUACAUGUGCGUUACAACUGAAGUUGUGACAUCUGAUGAUGUUUGCAUCACGUUCUUGCCACAUACGUCAAGAACAAGCCAUAUUUUAUCGGAACCAUUGAGUAAGUAAGAGAAAACUAAUAAUAAUAUGUGAUGCAGCAACGGUUACCAUAUCAAAUCUCUUGAACUAAUACAAAUAUAGUCCUGAUCACACAUUAGAUCUUAGAACUGUUUUAGGCUUUUAUUUAAAUUCAGGCAUCUUAACCGAGUGCACUCAACAAUAGUAGUACACUAAAUACUUGGAAUUUUCUUGCGAAGGCCGAGUAAAACAUAAAAUCCAAACCAUAGUAUGAUUUCAUCUUAUCUGGUGGUUUGGUAGUGCGACUAUUAAUGUGAUCCAUCUUUAGAUCAAUAAAUUCCAUUUUUGGUCUUAACCUACAAACAAAGAUUGUUCCAUAAGUAUCGCAGCCGUCAAUCAUAGGAGAAUCUAAGAGUGUACAAGUAUAUAUACAGAAAAUGGAAUCUACCUUUAAAGUUGAUCUUGCAGAUCCCUAUUUUUCGCCAAUUCAUGUCAUAUUGUGCGCAUCCAUGAUGACCUCAAGGUAAGAUAUUUGCACAAACCUUCCCACUCACUCGCUAUAUUCUACCUGUCAAUGAAAACAGACCUUACUUAUCACAGAAGAAAAUGGGAAACCUAACUACGACAUGUAUGCUAAGUCGCUUCCCAUAGAGACAAUACUACAAUGGCUCAAUGCCUCAAUGCCUGAAGCUCUCUCUUUUAGGAGAUUUUACAGUAAAGAAUACAAGCUGCCACUGAACACAAGGAGUCAGCAAGAAUAUUUAGUGUCAGAGAGAUGUCUAGAGCACCUAUGUUAAUGUUGCCCAUACAGUUGAUUUACCUCUCACUAGUUCAUACUAAAUUUACAUAAUUUGGGACAGUUUAACAGACAAAAAUGUGAAGCACAUAUCAUCAGCUCAGCAGAAGCCUCUUACUAGUUCAUACUAUUUACAUAAUUUGGGGCAGGUCAAUAGACAUAAAUGUGAAGCAAAUAUCAUCUUCAGUAGCAGUCAUUGCCUUCCUUCUUCAGCAGCCUAUACGGACAUAAACAGGAUAGAGAUCCUUACCGGACUCUCAAACUACCGGCUACCUUCAUUGCAAUUAUCCUAAGAAUAUAGUCUGUACAUGUAGAACUAGUACUACUAAAGCAAACUAACUAGCUAGCACUCACGUAUAGACUCUGCUAUCAAUACAUCUUGAUGUAGAUUAAGACUAAUGCAAGAUUAUUACCAAUAGGAGAUACGUGUACAAUAGAAAGGGAUUCCGUUUUCAACUAAGUUGAUUCUUUUUUGUGUUUUUGCCUGCACUUCGAAAGAUAAUACUUAGAGCAAACAAACUGAAACCUCUUGCUACCUUUACUUUCUCUGUGGUCAUUCGUGAACGCCGCUGCUAGCCUACGUAUAUGGAGUAAUUCUCAGAAAAUGUAUACGCUAAGUAUCAAUUGUUAUUGUUUAAAAUGGUGAGAAAGAUAUAUGUCUCGUGCGUGUAGAUUGGUAACUACAGUACAUUUUUUUAUAGUUGUUUGGCAAUUCCUGUUAUUCAGUCUAGUCUAGUAUUUGGCGGCAUUCGACAUGCUCUCCAUGACACUAACUAACUAAAUAAAACACUAGACUUGUUCAUACAAAUCCCUCUUGAAUUCCUUGUCACAACCAGAAUUUGCAUAGCAGUAGUGAGCAGUGGAAGAGGGGGAGGGAGAUGGAGACGUUACAUGUCACGGUGGGUCAUCAUGGCCACGCUUGAGCUCGGGCAGGGCUUGUUGGUCGCCCUAGGAGCAGAACCCUCCAGCCCCUCCUCCUCGAGCAGAGCAUGGCCGGUGGCUAGGUGCGCCCCUCCUCCUCCUCCUCCUCAAGCAGGGCAAGGUCGGUGCCCACUUGUUGUUAUUACCAUAUCCACGCCAUGGUGACAUGCAGCAAGGGGAUGGAUAAGAAGAGAAGGUGAGGUGCGGAGGAGAGGGUGGAAGGGCCUACCUGGGCAAUGCAGGUGACGGACCACGCAAGCUCCAGCCUUGCCAUCGCCUAUUGUGGUGGAUUCCAACAAGAACAGGGGGGCGCCUGAAGCCCUAGCCAAGGGAAAGUAUGCAUGCCUUAAGGCACAGAUCUGGAUGGAGGGGAGGGAGCGGCGGAGCUCGGGGAGCUUGGGGCAUGUUGGAACUGACCAGCUUGGGUGGUGGCGUCGGCGAGGAGAUCGUCAUGUGAGGGGGUGAGAUUAGUGAGUGAUAUUUAUUCCUCAGACCUUGUUCCUUUUCAUAGAAUUUCAAGAGGUUUGAAGGGGAUUGGAAGGGAUUAAAUUNNNNNNNNNNGCAUGUUGGAACUGGCCAGCUUGGGUGGUGGCGUCGGUGAGGAGAU